rnacentral:rRNA from 1 species
GCAGUAGCCGCGGUAAUACGAAGGGGGCUAGCGUUGCUCGGAAUUACUGGGCGUAAAGGGAGCGUAGGCGGACAUUUAAGUCAGGGGCGAAAUCCCGGGGCUCAACCUCGGAAUUGCCUUUGAUACUGGGUGUCUUGAGUAUGAGAGAGGUAUGUGGAACUCCGAGUGUAGAGGUGAAGUUCGUAGAUAUUCGGAAGAACACCAGUGGCGAAGGCGACAUACUGGCUCAUUACUGACGCUGAGGCUCGAAAGCGUGGGGAGCAAACAGGAUUAGAUACCCCAGUAGUCCCUGUCUCUUAUAC